AAACAUAAGCUAGUAGUGUAGGAACUGGGUUCUGGGAGAUGAAGAUGGUGAUGGAGACCUUAUCAAUGAAACCUCCGAUACUCGGGAAUAGCACCAGACCAUAGAUGAGUAAUGAAAAGCUAGCAUAGAAGGCAUCCCAAUUACCAUUGUUGGCAAAUAUAGUGGCUUUCUUGAACAAGAACUUAGACGGAAGGCCCUUGGUAUUACCCUUAACUCGGAA
rnacentral:lncRNA from 1 species